rfam:Nematostella vectensis strain CH2 x CH6 NEMVEscaffold_326_Cont23918, whole genome shotgun sequence.
GCACUGGUGGUUCAGUGGUAGAAUUCUCGCCUGCCACGCGGGAGACCCGGGUUCUAUUCCCGGCCAGUGCA